UGGGGGGACCAUCCUCCAAGCCUAAGUACUCCUUAUCGACCGAUAGUGAACAAGUACCGUGAGGGAAAGGUGAAAAGCACCCCGACGAGGGGAGUGAAACAGUACCUGAAACCGAACGCCUACAAUCAGUCGGAGCCCCCUUGCGGGGUGACGGCGUACCUUUUGUAUAAUGGGUCAUCGACUUGGUCUAUCUAGCAAGCUUAAGCCGUUAGGUGUAGGCGCAGCGAAAGCGAGUCUGAAUAGGGCGCAUGAGUUAGAUGGAUCAGACCCGAAACCGAGUGAUCUAGGUAUGAGCAGGUUGAAGGUGCAGUAACAUGCACUGGAGGACCGAACCCACGCCUGUUGAAAAAGGCGGGGAUGACUUGUGCCUAGGGGUGAAAGGCCAAUCAAACUCGGAAAUAGCUGGUUCUCCGCGAAAUCUAUUUAGGUAGAGCGUUAGAUGAAUACCAUCGGGGGUAGAGCACUGGAUGGGCUAGGGGGUCUCACCGACUUACCAAACCUAACCAAACUCCGAAUACCGAUGAGUAAUAUCUGGCAGACACACUACGGGUGCUAAGGUCCGUAGUGGAAAGGGAAACAGCCCUGACCGCCAGCUAAGGUCCCUAAGUUAUGGCUAAGUGGGAAAGGAUGUGAGAGUGCAUAGACAACCAGGAUGUUGGCUUAGAAGCAGCCAUCAUUUAAAGAAAGCGUAACAGCUCACUGGUCAAGCGCUCUUGCGCCGAAAAUGUACCGGGGCUAAAGCCAUACACCGAAGCUGCGGAUGCACAUUUAUGUGCGUGGUAGCGGAGCGUUCUGUAAGCCUGUGAAGGGUGACCCGCGAGGGCACUUGGAGGUAUCAGAAGUGAGAAUGCUGACAUGAGUAGCGAUAAAGAGGGUGAGAGACCCUCUCGCCGAAAGACCAAGGGUUCCUGCGUAAAGCUAAUCUGCGCAGGGUUAGUCGGCCCCUAAGGCGAGGGCGAAAGCCGUAGUCGAUGGGAAACAGGUUAAUAUUCCUGUACCUGGAGGUAGUGACGAAUCCCGUGUGUUGUUUACCCUUAUUGGAUUGGGUAGGCCGCGAAGGGGUUCCAGGAAAUAGCUCCUCCAUUAUAGACCGUACCCCAAACCGACACAGGUGGACUGGUAGAGCAUACCAAGGCGCUUGAGAGAACUAUGCUGAAGGAACUCGGC
rnacentral:rRNA from 1 species